rnacentral:lncRNA from 1 species
AUAGGGUGUUCCAUGAUUUUAUUAAUAUUAGUCAUCACCACAUGCCUUAAAAGCAACCAGAGAAGAACAGGAAAGGAGGACAGAGAGAAAGAACUAAAAGAAACGGUGGUGUUCCUGUCAUUGCCGAGUGCAUAUUAUGCUGGCAUACAUGAAAAAAGGCAUCCUGAAGCUGUACAAAGACAACACACAAUUUUCUACUACAUAGUAUAGAUUUGAAAUGAGACAUCUGAAUGCUAACAUCACAUUUGAGAUCUUGAAAAUUAGCUUUAAAGGCUAAAGUAAGGGUGGUGGAAGCAAGAACAUCAAGACUUACAGGACAUGUGAAGACUAAAGAGUGGCCUCAAGUUCAGUCAAGACUACUGUCUCAAAGGAAAAAAACAUCUAAAGUUUAAACAAUAUAACUUCAAAUCAGCUCUCAUAACUAGUCCCACUGAUAUUAGAUGCUAUUACAUGUCUUCUUUACAUGUGUGAUUGCAACCUAAGGAAGACAAAUUACCUACUGGAACUCAAAUGAACCUCAGGAAUUACAGGACAGGGGAGUGAAAGCAAAUUGUUUACUGCUUAGCCAAACUAUAUUUUACAGCUGGCAUCAUCCCAACCUUAUAAGCAUGAC